CCUUGAUCUGCAGUGGUCUUGUCUGUGUGGGGAAGCUGCUUUGAGAAGCUUUACCCGGGAUGACCUGAAGGAUCUUUUCCCUGGCUCUGAAAAUUUCUUCCGGAGAAAGAAGAUUUGGGAUUUCAUCAGCCAAAAGGCGAUCUGUGCAGCAUACUCUUCAAGCAUGCACACAGCUGAUCUCGCACCCCUCCAGAACCGUGCUGCUCUCCUGGCAUGCCACGCCCCCUCCAGCUCGAGCACACUGAGGAAAAAUACAAGGAAACGCCAGCAUCCACGCACCCCAACCCUACUUUAUGGCUUGUGUCCACACCAGCGAUGACCUCCAAUCACUUUUAAAUCAACAUGGAGCGCUACUCACAGGUGCGGGCAGAGGUUCUCGUCUGCCCUGAUACUGGACCGUCUGUCCGCCUCCUGGCUCAAACAAGAAUUCCACUCCUCGUCCUCCAGCACGUCUGUCUUUUUUCACCCACGCCAACAGUCCUCUUUUUUUUUCUCGUCACUCCCUCUCCGCUGGUAUUCAUUAGUCCCUCACAGACACCUGUGUCAGGAGCAAAUUGCUGUGUCCCGCCCCCUUAUUACACAGCCAGCUCUAAUUCAAAUUGUCUUUCAUGUCCUUCAUGCAAAAAGAAAGAAUGCUACAAUGUUAACAUGCAAAAAAAGAGAAAAAAACACAAUAAUACAAACAUGCAAAACACCCCAAAUACAAUCAAAACACAAAAAUCGCA